AGGGCGCGCGCUUACCAUGCAAGUCGAACGAUGAAGCCCAGCUUGCUGGGUGGAUUAGUGGCGAACGGGUGAGUAACACGUGGGUGAUCUGCCCUGCACUCUGGGAUAAGCCUGGGAAACUGGGUCUAAUACCGGAUAUGACCUCUUGCUGCAUGGCGAGGGGUGGAAAGUUUUUCGGUGCAGGAUGAGCCCGCGGCCUAUCAGCUUGUUGGUGGGGUAAUGGCCUACCAAGGCGACGACGGGUAGCCGGCCUGAGAGGGCGACCGGCCACACUGGGACUGAGACACGGCCCAGACUCCUACGGGAGGCAGCAGUGGGGAAUAUUGCACAAUGGGCGAAAGCCUGAUGCAGCGACGCCGCGUGAGGGAUGACGGCCUUCGGGUUGUAAACCUCUUUCAGCAGGGACGAAGCGAAAGUGACGGUACCUGCAGAAGAAGCACCGGCCAACUACGUGCCAGCAGCCGCGGUAAUACGUAGGGUGCGAGCGUUGUCCGGAAUUACUGGGCGUAAAGAGCUCGUAGGCGGUUUGUCGCGUCGUCUGUGAAAUCCCGCAGCUCAACUGCGGGCUUGCAGGCGAUACGGGCAGACUCGAGUACUGCAGGGGAGACUGGAAUUCCUGGUGUAGCGGUGAAAUGCGCAGAUAUCAGGAGGAACACCGGUGGCGAAGGCGGGUCUCUGGGCAGUAACUGACGCUGAGGAGCGAAAGCGUGGGUAGCGAACAGGAUUAGAUACCCUGGUAGUCCACGCCGUAAACGGUGGGCGCUAGGUGUGGGUUUCCUUCCACGGGAUCCGUGCCGUAGCCAACGCAUUAAGCGCCCCGCCUGGGGAGUACGGCCGCAAGGCUAAAACUCAAAGGAAAUUGACGGA
rnacentral:rRNA from 1 species